AUCGAAAUCAGUAAAAAUUUGUUUGCCAUUUAAAUUCGAUUUUGAUCCUAUUUAUCCAGUAAAUUGCAGCAAUUGAAAGGAUUUGCGAGGGAGUCGCUGGCUGCUUGUUUGAUUUUCAAUUACCUUCCAAGGAUAUUCGGAGGCCGACUGAUGUGUGACGCUGUGAGGAUGUAAGGAUCUACGGAUGUGAUGAUGUGACAAAGUGAUGUGUGUGGUGCAAACACUUGUUAAAGCUGAUACACGGCUUUAAGCGAUGCCCAUACCACGCCUGGGGUUUUCCACCACCCUCCUCGGUGGGUAAGAUAUUGAAUUUCAAUUGCUGCAGCUGCAGGAAAUCACUUCCUGGCGACAAAGUAGACGAAAUGGAAAUCAGCCAGGAAAAGGACGAGAACGCAAGUCAAAGAAAUCCCCAAGUGCGGGUCAAAGAAAAUAAAACUUUAUGCAAAUGCGCCACUUUGGCCGUAAAAUGAAAUAGUCCCAGGCCAAAUUAUACCUUGAUGCCUGAUGAGCUUCGGUUCUGCCCGUCCUGGUCUUCCUGUCUGGAUCCUGGCCAAUUGUCCUGGACGUGAAUUGAAACAAAAGGGACUUUGUUUCGAUUCCUCUCGCCCUUCCUUCGCUAGUUUGGGAACCCGAGCAGGUGACUCCGACUUGGAAAACUUUUGCACUUUACAAUUCACAAUUUACCUACAUUCGGCAUCGCUUUAUUUUGCUGCCCCCCUGGGGGAACUUUUCCUGCGACAAUAAAACGGCCAACUUCAUUCCGG
ensembl:ncRNA lncRNA:CR44136 long non-coding RNA:CR44136